CAGAGUGCCUGGAAGAGUCAUAAUGGAGAAACCCAGGUUCUCAUCUGAUGGGAGAAGCCUGGAAUAAGUGUGUGCAAAUAUCCUUCACGGACCCAUUCCACCGAAGACUCUGCAAACAUCCUGUGGUUGAAACCAAGUUCCACCAAUAGUGAGAUGCAAAGUCAUUAUCUUAAUUCAGACCAUCUGAAGAAAAGAAGAAAAAAAAAGAGCAAACCCUCACUUUCUCCAAAAGCUGCAAGUCAGCAAUUUCCAGUUGAAGAUUUCCUUUGAAGGUUUUGCUUGUUUGUUUAAGACUGACCGCUCUCAGAUUGGCCCCUGACUGUUCAGAGGGGCUGGAAAGUUGGUGUCUCGCAAGGAAAGUAGAAAUAACAGUCCUAAUCGAAAGAGGAUGAAGAGGUGACGGAGAACAAAGCCAAGCAGAAUUUACUAGCUCGAGGGUCCCUUUAAAUGGUAUCAAAACAAGGGGGGGUGGAUCCAGGCUUCAAUACAGUUGUGCUUAAGAACUUCUUAAUCCUGUCUCCUUCCUGGCCGAGAGCCAGUUGGAGCCGCGCCAAGAAGUCCUGGCAGAAAAUGUUGGGGCCAGAGUUACAUGCAAACGAGUCCAUUUGAGAGGAAUAAAGUUUGCAUAGCCAGCUUCUUGGCCAA